rnacentral:tRNA from 1 species
GGCCUCGUAGCUCAGUUGGCUAGAGCUUUGGCUGUACUAAAGCCUUCCCCUUGCUGGCGUGGGUUCGAAUCUCACCGAAGCCG